UUUCCCCCUUUUACCAGUCUCUCUCUUUGAACUCACUCUCGCUCAUUCACUCUCUCACUCUCUUAAUUCCGAGUUCUCUCUUCAGCCCUGUAUUUUAUGUGUAUUGUUGAAUUUAGGAUAUCAUCCUUUAAUUUUAGAUAUAUAUUGCUAAUUUGGGGGUUUCCAGGUGAUUUAGGGUUUGAUGUUUCGACUUCGAUUCACGGUGACUUCAUCAUGUCCAACUCUAUUCCUGCUUUCAAUCGGUUAUUUUAGUUGUGAGCAUCGUGUUAUAUCGUGUUGAAUGCAAGCAUUUUGAUAGAGACAAAUUCCCUGAUUUUAUUUGGUUUUAUGACAAACCAAGCCCAGUUCAAUUUCAGAUUCAUGAAGUAGGCUGAACUCAACCAAGGUGUGUGGCUGCAAUGAGUGUUGCCAAAAGAGUAAGCGAAGAGAUGGAAACUGAACUUGGUGAUCUAGUUGGUUAUGUGCAAUUCGUUUCGAGGAUGUGACUGGGCCAAACACUGUAAUAAAGUAUAUGACUGAAGGUGUGCUUUUGCGUGAGACACUGAAAGAUGAUGAUCUUGACAAAUAUCGGUAUGAAGUUGGACUACUCUCUUGUACAGAUUAUCGUUCUGUUUUUAGUAUGUAGUUACAGUGUGCAUGGAAAUUAACUGUUUUAUGGAACUGCAGUGUCGUAAUGGAUGAAGUUCACUUAGAUGUACUCCCCUAUCUUGCGUAAAUAUCCUAGUUUUACUUUUAUAUUUUCUUGGUCUCUGAAUCCCUUUGCUAUGUAUCGAAUGCUUUAUUUAUUUUUGUUCUGAACGCUUAAUAUUGUAUUACAUGUUUUUGAGUUGGAUACUCUAGUUCAUGUGAUUAUCAGAUUCUGGAAGAAGACCUUUUAAAAUACUAGAAGAGUGAUGAUCAAACAUCAGGUUCUGAAGUGCAAAGGCCUUGUACAGUGGAUGUGCAUAUCAUUUGAGGCUGUGUGCCAUAAUGUGUACUGGGACGUUUUUUUGGCCAAUGAUAACUAGUUUCUGAAUUAUCUAGGGGACUUGUAGUUCUUUUUAUGAUAUCGAUGUAAUCGUAAUGUCCGAAUAGCUUAACUUUUGUGGUUUGUAAUAAAUGUUUGUGUUGAAAGUUAUGUGUAUUUUAAGUUUAA